rnacentral:rRNA from 1 species
CAUAGCUCAAAUUUGUAAUCUGGCGGCUCUGUCGUCCGAGUUGUAAUUUCUAGAGGCAUGUUCGGUGGAGGCCCCGGUCCAAGUCCGUUGGAACACGGCGUCAUGGAGGGUGAGAAUCCCGUGAAUGGCCGGGUGGUCCUUUGCCAUGUGAACUGUCUUCGAAGAGUCGAGUUGUUUGGGAAUGCAGCUCUAAUUGGGAGGUAAAUUUCUUCUAAAGCUAAAUAUUGGCCAGAGACCGAUAGCGAACAAGUAGUGUGAACGAAAGAUGAAAAGAACUUUGAAAAGAGAGUUAAACAGUACGUGAAAUUGUUAAAAGGGAAGCGCUUGAGAUCAGACUUCUGCUCCAUGCCGUCCUGGCUUCUGCCUGGAUCAACGGCUUGGAAUCAGAGGCCAGCAUCAGUUUUGGCGGCCGGAUAAAGACUUCAGGAAUGUGGCUCCCUCGGGAGUGUUAUAGCCUGGUGUGUAAUACGGCCAGCCGGGACUGAGGACCGCGGUUUUUACCUAGGAUGCUGGCGUAAUGGUCUUAAGCGACCCGUCUUGAAACACGGACCA